GACGAACGCUGGCGGCGUGCCUAAUACAUGCAAGUUGAGCGAUGAAGCUUGGUGCUUGCACCAAUUUGAAGAGCAGCGAACGGGUGAGUAACGCGUGGGGAAUCUGCCUUUGAGCGGGGGACAACAUUUGGAAACGAAUGCUAAUACCGCAUAACAACUUUAAACAUAAGUUUUAAGUUUGAAAGAUGCAAUUGCAUCACUCAAAGAUGAUCCCGCGUUGUAUUAGCUAGGUGGUGAGGUAAAGGCUCACCAAGGCGAAGAUACAUAGCCGACCUGAGAGGGUGAUCGGCCACAUUGGGACUGAGACACGGCCCAAACUCCUACGGGAGGCAGCAGGAGGGAAUCUUCGGCCAUGGACGAAAGUCUGACCGAGCAACGCCGCGUGAGUGAAGAAGGGUGUCGGAUCGUAAAACUCUGUUGGUAGAGAAGAACGUUGGUGAGAGUGGAAAGCUCAUCAAGUGACGGUAACUACACAGAAAGGGACGGCUAACUACGUG
rnacentral:rRNA from 1 species